rnacentral:rRNA from 1 species
UGCGUAGGGGGCAAGCGUUGUCCGGAUUUAUUGGGCGUAAAGAGCUCGUAGGCGGUUUGUCGCGUCUGCCGUGAAAGUCCGGGGCUCAACUCCGGAUCUGCGGUGGGUACGGGCAGACUAGAGUGAUGUAGGGGAGACUGGAAUUCCUGGUGUAGCGGUGAAAUGCGCAGAUAUCAGGAGGAACACCGAUGGCGAAGGCAGGUCUCUGGGCAUUAACUGACGCUGAGGAGCGAAAGCAUGGGGAGCGAACAGG